AGCGAACGCUGGCGGCAGGCCUAACACAUGCAAGUCGAGCGCCCCGCAAGGGGAGCGGCAGACGGGAGAGUAACACGUGGGAACGUACCCUUUGGUUCGGAACAACCCAGGGAAACUUGGGCUAAUACCGAAUAAGCCCUUACGGGGAAAGAUUUAUCGCCGAAGGAUCGGCCCGCGUCUGAUUAGCUAGUUGGUGAGGUAACGGCUCACCAAGGCGACGAUCAGUAGCUGGUCUGAGAGGAUGAUCAGCCUCACUGGGACUGAGA
rnacentral:rRNA from 1 species